rnacentral:lncRNA from 1 species
UAAAAUUAAGUUCUCCUGAACAGAUCUGGCUAAGUGUUCUUGAAUAGGGCCAAUAUCAGGGUGUAAGGUCUAUGAGUUUACCACUAAUCAUGUUAACCAUUGCCAUAUGAGAGGUCUUGCCCUUUUUAUAAGAGUUUUGGAUUUUAAAAUGGAUAUAUCAGGUAGAAGCUUUUGAAGGUCAGGUGUGUGAGUAUGAAAUUGAAAGAAAGCUUUGGAGGAGAAAGUACUGGAGGAGAUAUUAUCCAAACUUGGUUGAGGGAGAAAUACAAUCACGUAAUAGUGUAAAACAAAAUAGAAUUGUAGUUCUAUACAUUAUCCAUAUCCAAAUAGUUAAUUAANGUCCCUUUGCAAAUAGUAAUUUAUAUUUUUAGUCGGAUUAGAAUUGGCUACUAGGAAAACUUUGCAAUCAGAUAGAUGAAACAUGNAGAAAAANCCUCUGAAAAAAGAGCAUUCCCCAUCUCAAGCUCCUCUAAAAAAACUUUAAUAAGGAUACCCUCACCUAAACUAUAGUAAUACAUUCCUGGAAAAUAAAUUUCCAGUUCCAACAUCUACCAAGCUGUUACUAAUUUGCUUAGCAUUUCAUUGCUGAUCAAUGN